rnacentral:rRNA from 1 species
AUUGAACGCUGGCGGCAGGCCUAACACAUGCAAGUCGAGCGGAUGAGUGGAGCUUGCUCCAUGAUUCAGCGGCGGACGGGUGAGUAAUGCCUAGGAAUCUGCCUGGUAGUGGGGGACAACGUUUCGACAGGAACGCUAAUACCGCAUACGUCCUACGGGAGAAAGUGGGGGAUCUUCGGACCUCACGCUAUCAGAUGAGCCUAGGUCGGAUGAGCUAGUUGGUGAGGUAAAGGCUCACCAAGGCGACGAUCCGUAACUGGUCUGAGAGGAUGAUCAGUCACACUGGAACUGAGACACGGUCCAGACUCCUACGGGAGGCAGCAGUGGGGAAUAUUGGACAAUGGGCGAAAGCCUGAUCCAGCCAUGCCGCGUGUGUGAAGAAGGUCUUCGGAUUGUAAAGCACUUUAAGUUGGGAGGAAGGGCAGUAAGUUAAUACCUUGCUGUUUUGACGUUACCAACAGAAUAAGCACCGGCUAACUUCGUGCCAGCAGCCGCGGUAACAC